UACGAAGGGUGCGAGCGUUAAUCGGAAUUACUGGGCGUAAAGAGCACGUAGGCGGUUUGAUAAGCGGAAUGUGAAAGCCCCGGGCUUAACCUGGGAACUGCAUUCCGAACUGUCAGGCUAGAGUAUGAUAGAGGUGAGCGGAAUUUCCUGUGUAGCGGUGAAAUGCGUAGAUAUAGGAAGGAACAUCAGUUGCGAAGGCGGCUCACUGGAUCAAUACUGACGCUGAGGUGCGGAAGCGUGGGGAGCGAACCGG
rnacentral:rRNA from 1 species